GGGCGGUUAGCUCAGUUGGGAGAGCAUCUGGUUUACAUCCAGAGGGUCGGGGGUUCGAACCCCUCACCGCCCACCA
rnacentral:tRNA from 1 species